rnacentral:lncRNA from 1 species
ACAUGCAUACAUACGUGUGCGUGCACACGCACACGCCUAGCCUUUGCUUCCCCGAGGAGGGGGGCCUCUCUGGGACAUGCUGGUGGGCGCGACUGUGGUGGGCACCGGCCUUUCCAGCUCGGGCGCCAGCUGCCCUCGGCCUGCCCGCGUUGCCUCUGAAGUGAGCCUUGUGAAGAAAGCACCGGCCCUGCCCCGAGAUGCUUCCUUCGUGGGCACCGGCCUGAGUCGGGGGCCCGCGGGGCCGGGCGUGCCCAAGCCACUGGGCCUCUGCCGUUCCUCCCCCUUGCCGCCCCCGGCCCUGCCCCCGAGGGCCUUCUGCUCCGGUGCCCUUUUCCGCGGUGUCGGCCCGUUCGGUGGCAGGUGUCUGGGAUGGAAGCCGGGUUCGGGAGGAGGGCGGGGCUCCGACGUGCCCGCCACGUGGCCCUGGCCCCAGGCCGUCUAGGGGUCAGUGCUGGCGUGUUGCCUCGCUCGGCCGGCGUCUGUCUCACGAACUUGGACUGAGGAAGUGGGGCAGAGCGGGAGAGGCGCGAGCAGGAGGAGACAGGCCUGCCUGCAGGUUGGAACCUCGGCCGGGGCGGCUGUGCUGGAACCUCCAUCCUGCCCCCAGCCGCCCUCUCACAGCACACACCCUCUGCAGACGGAGGCUCCUUUCCUGCUCCUGGGGUUCUGUGAGAGGCCGGAUCGUUUGGAUUUAAAAGCUGAUUUCCUGGUCCACGCGUGGACCUGGGCGCACCGCCUCUCCACGCAGAGAAGCCAGCCUCGCAGGGGCCGAGGACCAGAAGGCACGUCAGUGCUGCCUCCUGGCCUCCUGUGCCCAGCGGGCAGGGGGGAGGGCCUGGGCCACCCUCGCUCCGUGCAGCGACAGGGGGCGGGCUUCUCCCUGGGGUCCAGGCCUGCCCCAGGCAGGUCUGAGCAGCGGGCGGGAGAGAGUGACAGGGCCUGGCCCCUCGGACGGCGGCUGAAGGUCAGUGCCCUUCUCCCACGGAGGACCCUGCACGCUCGGCUCCUCCUCUGCGGGCCACGGCCCAGCCUGGGGAGGCCCUUACAGGAGAAAAGCUGCUGGCUUGGACGGAUGCGGGGCCUGGCCGCGAGCCCCGGGCCCCUCCUCCCCCCUCUCGCUGCGGAGGCCUGGCCCGCGCAGCCUGAGAUCAGGAGUGGCGAGCUCCCGUCACUGCCGUCUUCCUGCUCUGUGUGCGAGGCCCUGAGGCAUCUGUAAUUUGGGGCCGUCUGGAGGUGGGAGAGAGAUGUUCCGGUGGCCCUGCACAGGGGCUGCUCCUGGGGCUCCCUCUGCCGACACCAGGACUGCCUCCCCGAGGGGCUUUAAGAACUAAAGUAACAUGUACUGCAGUGGCCCCAGCCGCAAGGGGCUAUUUACAUCGAAACUGAGUAGAAAUAAAAGUUGAGUGCCAGCCGUCCUGGCCUCGGAGGGUGGCUGAGUCAGGAGAGCAUGGGGCCAGCAGGCAGCUGGAGGUGCCGGGCCUGGGGCGCAGGCUCCCGAGCGGCCGCCUGCCCCGUGUGGGAGGUCCCGCUAAGAGGUUUUUCUCUCGUGAGAGUCGUGUGCUUCGUUGCAGAAAAUUCAGACACUAGGGGUGAGAAGAGGAAAAGUGAUCGCACACUCAGAGGUGACCUUGUUGACUGGGCUGGCGUCUUCAUGGGGCACGCGCGUGCUGUCACGCACACAGGCGGCGUUGGUGCCCACGAGUGUGCUUCACGCCUGUGACCUGGUCUGCGUCUGCGUGGCUGCCGGGUGUGUGUGAUGCUGACAUUCUGCCGUUGUUCCCGGGCAAGGGGACUGAGGCGGGGACGCAGCUGUGCUGCCAGGGGCAUGCUCCAGCUCCAGCGCCUGGGCUCACUCGUCUGCAGGGCCAUGCCCACGUGUGCAUGUGUGCACACAUGUCUGUGUCACGGGUCUGCAGGGCCAUGCCGCCCUGCGUGUGUGUGUGUACACGUGUCACUUGUCUAAGGGCCAUGCCGGCGUGUGCAUGCGUGUCUGUGUCCCUCUCUGCACGGCCACGCCUGCGCGUGCUUGCCUGUGAGGGUGGCAGUGAGCUGUUUUCCCGGCACCGUGGGCUCCUCCACCGCCCCUCGGCCCCUGGCCUCGCUGGACAGGGCCUUCUGCUCGAGCGGUGACUGGGUGGCCACCGUAUUUUCACCCGGCAGCAUCGCUUCUUUCCAGGUUUGCUGUUCAGGGCUUUGCUGUCCCUCUUCGUGUGCUUUUGGCUGCAGUAUAGAAAAGCCAACUCAGGCUGAUUUUCAGCAGAAAUAGCUUAUUUACUCCUGAGAUUUCCUUUGCGAUCCGACAGCAGCUCAGGCUCGGUGGAGCCGUCUGUCCGUGUGCUUCCCAGCCUCCCGCGAGGGGUCUCGUUACCGCUGCCCCGGGUCUGAGGGUCGCUGAGCCGGGCACCUCCCCCGUCACGACUCAGCCGGGAGUCAGACGAGAGUGUGUAUUUAUAUCCUCAGCCCUUUUCUCCAAAAAGCUCAGACCUCUUUCGUUUCUAACUUUAGCUCUCUGCUCUCUUAGCUCGUACAGGGAGAAGAGAGCUCCGAUUAGUCGGUUCGCUUUGUAUUUAUUUUUACUUGGCCUUUUUGCUUCCAGAUUUUGAGAAGAAAAUGUGAGAUUCUUUUUUUUCCUCUGCCUAAUUCUCUUCCGGCCUCUGGAAGUGGCGGGUCUGCCUCAGGGCAGACGUUCGUUUUCCGUUUGUGAAACAAACCUGACCAUGUUAAUCUGUUCUAUGAACUAAUUACUAGUUUCCUUUCCAGUAACUUGGGGAACAGUGUGUAUCUCUCCAAGUCGUGGUUUUCCUGACAGUCCAGCGGGUGUUCAGGACAGAGGGACCCGGUGGCUGCAGGUGAGGACCCUUUUGUCAAAGAGCCAGGUGAGGCAGAGCUCUGGGAAUUCGCUUAUGGUUUGGUUUUUCUAAUUAAAAAAAAAAAAUUUAGCCUCACCCAUGGCAUGUGGAAGUUCCUGGGCCAGACAUUGAACCCAUACCACAGCUAUAACCAGAGCUCCAGCAGUUGCAACACCAGGUCCUUAACCCUGUGAGCCACCAGGGAACUCCCACUCUUUGGUUUUUGUCUUUUCUCCAGGAAUUGAACUAAAUACUUGUCAUUGAGAGGAAUCCAUUUUAAUUCCUAAGAGGUUGAGCUCCUCGCCUCUGGCAGUCGGGGGUGACCCGAUGUGUUGCGGCCCUUCUCCCCGCCUCUGGAAGUCCCCGUAGCCCAGGAGUUGUUAGCAUUUACCACACCUUCGAUUUGCCCGCUUACAGUCGUCAUCAGGAUUCAUUUUAUUUUGAAUAGGUAAUGAAUUUUUGGCCGUUAUUUUAAGAAGGUAAUAAGUCAACACAUUAACUCUCACGGAAAGUGUUACAAAAACAGAAAGUCCUGUCCCGCUUUGUAAAAGCAAAAGCCCCACUUCUUUCCACUUGGUUCUUCUGGAAGCAGCUCUGGGCCCUGGUGAGGGCACCACUGCCCUGCAGCUCCCACCAUCCCUGCUGCCCCAGCUGCUCCCGCUGCUCCUCCUGCCCUGCUGCCCCCGCUGCUCCCGCUGCUCCCACCAUUCUCUCUGCCCCGCUGUUCUCGCAGCUCCCACCUUCUGAGACGAGGCUGCUCCAGGCUUCUCAGGGGCCUCUGUGCUCUUCCUCUUCACGCCCAUUGGCAGGGACUUUUGAAACGAUGCGUGUUUGGCCGUCGCUGGGUAGCACUGCACCCAGGAAAGGCACAGAACAGGGACGGGCAGCUGAGUGAGUUAUAUCCCACAGGGACUUCCGGGCGCUUCCCCCGGCCGAGACCCUGUGCACCUGCCCGGGGCUGGGGAGCAGCUGCCUGAGGGGAGCCCGCAGAGGGCCCAGCUCCGGCCCGACAGCCCGGGCUCUGGGCCGGCUUGCGGGCGCGUUUUCUGCAGGCGCGUCCGGGCGCCGCGUGUCUCUUCCGCCGGUUGAGCGCAGCGUCUGUGCAGCGGUCUGGGCGCUGGAGCGUGUUUGUUGCUCUGUUCGGCCGUCAUUCCGCCCACGAUGGAUAGUGAGGCAUUGGGGGCAACCGCGGGCCAGACUGCUGGGGCUGCUCCGGCGGCGUUUUUGACGGAGGCUCCGGGUGUGCGUGUUUCGGCCACUGUGAACGUGCUGCCCCGCGGCCCAGCCCACCCCGCUGUCCCCACACGCCCCCGGCUUGGUGGCUUGGCGUUCCCGUCGCUGGGGUCUUUGCCGUUGUAACGGGGGCGGGGGCGGUAGUUCUCCGGCGUAGGCUGCAGCGCUCCUUCGUGGGGGGUUGCUCUUGCUCUUUGGCAUGUGCCGGGACAAUGGGCCAUGGGGACAGUGCUCCAGACCGCGGGUGGCAAACCCUCCUCUUUUCUUUAGAAAACAACACCCACCUUUUCCCGUGUGAGUCGUAGAAACCGGGUCACGACUCUGAGUGUCCGUCUCAGGAGCUGCCUGUUUUAUUUAGUUUCAGAAGCGGCGUGAAUACCUUCUCGUGCUCCUGUCCGUGAGGCGGGUCCUCUGAGCCGCGUGAGGCUUUGGGUGGCACCCCCUGCCUGCACCCCAUUCCUGGGCCCUGGGGCCUGGGAUCCGGGCUGCGGGCAAGGCUGGGACGCCUUUCUCAGCCCGUGCAGGCUGUGCGGUGAGAGCCAGCGCCCGGGCGGAAUGAGGGGGCGAGGGUUGCCCCAUGACCUUGCAGCUGAGCCGCCGAAGCCCCUCUCCCCUCCAUGGGGGACGGGGGCCUGUGUUGGGGAGGUGACCAUGCGGCUGCUGCUGAACAGGGACCCCUGAGAGCCAAAGGGCCGUGGUGGUGACCCCGGGAGGUGGCGGGGAGCCGGGCAUCCUGGGCAGGUGGGGCACGGCCCCAGGGUUAGACCCCGAAGGCCAGGUUACCAGGAGGAUGGAGAACGAACUGUGCUGUCCGGGCCCACGGUGUCCCCUGCGUCACAGCUGGACAUGCCUCCUGGGCCGUGAGGAGGUCCCUGGGCCUGGAGGCGCGAUGUCAGGACUGCGUCACCUCUUCACCUGCGCAGGGAGGAAAUCUACUCGCCUUGCUUCCUGAGGGCCCUUCGGGGAGUAAAAGGCAAUCACACCGUUUAAAAGUCUUUUCUAGGAGUUCCCAUCAUGGCUCAGUGGUUAACGAGGCUGACUAGGAACCAUGAGGUUGCAGGUUCGAUCCCUGGCCUCGCUCAGAGGGUUAAGGAUCUGGUGUUGCUGUGAGCUGUGAGGUAGGUUGCAGACGCGGCUCGGAUCCCGCGUUGCUGUGGCUCUGGCGUAGGCCAGCGGCUACAGCUCUGACUUGAUCCCUAGCCUGGGAACCUCCAUAUGCUGUGAGAGUGGCCCCCAAAAUGGCAAAAAGACCAAAAAAAAAAAAAAAAA